rnacentral:misc_RNA from 1 species
UAGGGAGGGUUAUCCUUGAUAAGUCUGAGCCUCGGUGAUUUAGGAGUAUUGAGUGGUCGAUUUAGAUCGCUCAGGUUUGUGAGUAGAGUUUCUGGACUAGGGUUGAGGUUUAUUUGUCGCCUAAGCAUCCGGUUAGAGAAGGGAAGAGGACCAACACGCGGUGUACUAUCUCGGGCUGGUUAGAGGGCACCCCUGAUAAGGGAGAGGUGCGUGGUACGAGCCCGGGAUGAUACACUGGGUGGGGUUCUAGUUCAGUUGGUAGAGCGCGUAUUAGCAAGCAGAAUGUCAUCGGUUAGAGUCAGAUAACCUCCUCCACGAAAGCAUGGGAUUGAAUUCAGCCACGGCUGUGUUUUGGUGAUAAGCAAGGCAUAGUGUUAUUGGGUGAGAGCUUAGCAAAGAGCAGGAAACCAAAUACGCGAGAAGUGUAAGGUAGUACUCACAGAUCAUUCACAGUUCGUUGAGAGAACGAGUGAACUUGAUCUAGUUUUGAUUAGGUAAUCGAGAGAAG